rnacentral:sRNA from 1 species
UUUUAUUUGAAUUAAAUCUUUGUCUCAAGAAACCAAGUUGCAGAUGUACAGUGCAAUGGUCGAAUCAUUUGUUUACAUAAAGACAGAAAACAAUGUACAGCAGAGACACAAACAGAAUUGAAUGUUAAAAACAAUUCCUUGCAGACGGAUGAUAUUUAUUUUUCCACAACAGAAACUCAAACUAGUUAUCACCAAGACAACGAAACCCAAACUCCUGUCUAUAAAGUUACUAGUACAGAAGUCGGCACUCACCAGGGAACAUUCAAUAGUAAAACACAGACAGAAAUCA